AAGACUAUAUUUCCAGGGGUCAUUUCUGUGGUUCAUUACUUAAAGGAGUUUCCCCAAGUGUGUAGAGCACUGGAAACCACAGGAAGAUAUGCAAUGUUCUCUCCCGAGCACGAAGCUCGUUCUUGGUGUUGCUUCACUGCAACUGCCAUUUGCCAUUGAUUAUUGUUUUUUUCUUCCUUUGGGGAGAUUAAGAGGAAGAGGACACAGUCUGAGUGAU
ensembl:snoRNA U3 Small nucleolar RNA U3